UUACCACCGAGGAAAGACAGAAUCCUACUAGAGGCCUGAAAGAAUGUUCCAGACAUGGCUAGAAGGCCCUCACUUGUGCCUGCUCUCUUCAGACGCCUGAAGGUAGGGAGUGCCAGGUCUGCCCCCAGGCUCCAAGGGUGGGUCUCCUAGGGGCUGGAAAAUGCCCCACCAAUCUGGCUAAGAUAAGGAAAGGGUAUAAAGAGAAAGUUACAGAAAUUUGAAGGGUUAAGCUAAGUUGCUGAGAGUUAGUAUAAGUUACAGAGAAAGUAAGGUUAAACAAAGAAAAAGAGAAAAGAAGGUAAAAAGAGCAGAAAGCUAGGAAAGAAAAGAGACAAAAAGAAGAGGAAGCUAGAGAGCUAAAGAGAGAUAAAAGACAAGAGAGGAACAUAUACUGGCCACAGUAGUUAGGGAACCUAAGAAGACAGUACCUGGCAACAGAAGAGAAUUCCUGGCUAAAGAUCAGUGUGCCUAAUGCAAAGGAAAAAAAAAGACACUGGGUCAGGGACUGCCCCAGAAAGAACAAGAGGGGACACUGGAGAGCCUCUCGGUCCUGGAGUGCUGGCUAUGUGCAGAGAUAGGAGGGAAGCCUGCCCAGUUGUUUUAUGGAUACAGGGACCCAAUGCUCUGUGCUCCUAUGCUCCAGUGGGCCAGUAUCCAAAGACCUUGGGUACAGGGGCCUACUGGCAACAAACAAUACUUAUGGACUGCCCGAAGAACAGUGGACCUUGGCGUGGGCCGGGUAACCCACUAGUUCAUAGUCAUCCCUGACUGCCCCCAUCCCUUGCUCAUGAGAAAAUUGCUCCCCAAAAUGGCUUGCGUGGGCUGAAAUGGCUGGGUGAGGCCAUGUGUAUGCAUAUCUACAGACUGUGUAUGUGGAGCUUAAGACCUGUCUCAGGUGCACCAGUACCUGAUGCUGGGAGAUGAAUGGCUUAGCGCUGUUCUACUUGGAACAUAUCACUCCUGCCAGCCGGGCACUAACAAUUAUCACCCAAUCCAGGACUUAAACUGUGAUAGAGUGGCUGAUGUUUGCCUUUGAAUAGAGUGUCCCAAAAGAUGGGACCACUGGUCAGCUGCCAUGGACUAGAUUCUCCACCUGUUGGGGGCAAUCUGGUCACCUUGCUGCCCAAUCCUGACCUGGAGCCACCACAGCACGAGUGUCAAGCACUGGCAGAAGCCCAUGGGUGGAGGAAAGACCUCUGCGACUGGCUGAUUGACCCCUGCUGAAAGCCGAGGCUACCUUGUCCACAGACGGGAACAGUUCUCUUCAUGAAGGUCAGAGAUAGGUGGGUGCUGCCAUGGUGGACAACACAAUGUCAUCUGGGAUGGCUGAACCUCUACCCCCCCAGUACAUCAGUGCCGCAGAUGCCUUUGCCAUCUCUUGGAUGCCCUGGUGAAGCCAACAACUGUGAGUACUAUUCAUUGCUC
rnacentral:lncRNA from 1 species